UAGACCAAAAUUGAAUUACGUCUCAAUUACGUUCGUCGACGUGAGUACCGAAACGCGUUAUUUUAACGGCGCAUCCGUUUUACACAAUCGCACAACGUGUUAGCACAUUUGCUUUCAGCCGGGGCAAAUUUCGUCGCGUCAAUAUUCAUAUUAGAUGAGUGAACGGAUUUAUCGAACCUGGGUUAAAAUUUAGAUCAGAACACAUCGGCCGUACACCUGUAAGUCGGGGUUUUAAAUAUUUGAACUAUUAAAAGAGACACGAUUAGCUCUACGCUUGCUGUG